GACAGAGGGUGCAAACGUUGUUCGGAAUUACUGGGCGUAAAGCGUGUGUAGGCGGCUAUGUAAGUCGGAUGUGGAAGCCCCGGGCUCAACCCGGGAAGUGCACUCGAUACUGCGUAGCUUGAGUCUCGGAGAGGUUGGUGGAAUUCUCGGUGUAGAGGUGAAAUUCGUAGAUAUCGAGAGGAACACCGGUGGCGAAGGCGGCCAACUGGACGAAGACUGACGCUGAGACACGAAAGCGUGGGGAGCAAACAGG
rnacentral:rRNA from 1 species